rnacentral:rRNA from 1 species
UACAGAGGGUGCGAGCGUUGUCCGGAAUUACUGGGCGUAAAGGGCGCGUAGGCGGCUUGGUAAGUCGGGGGUGAAAGCCCGAGGCUCAACCUCGGAACUGCCUUCGAUACUGCGGGUCUCGAGUCCGGGAGAGGUGAGUGGAAUUCCUAGUGUAGAGGUGAAAUUCGUAGAUAUUAGGAAGAACACCAGUGGCGAAGGCGGCUCACUGGCCCGGUACUGACGCUGAGGCGCGAAAGCGUGGGGAGCAAACAGG